rnacentral:rRNA from 1 species
UACGUAGGGUGCGAGCGUUGUCCGGAUUUAUUGGGCGUAAAGAGCUCGUAGGCGGUUUGUCGCGUCGGCCGUGAAAUCUCCACGCUUAACGUGGAGCGUGCGGUCGAUACGGGCAGACUUGAGUUCGGUAGGGGAGACUGGAAUUCCUGGUGUAGCGGUGAAAUGCGCAGAUAUCGGGAGGAACACCAGUGGCGAAGGCGGCGAUCUGGGUGGAUACUGACGCUGAGGUGCGAAAGCGUGGGGAGCAAACAGG